rnacentral:rRNA from 1 species
CCUACGGGAGGCAGCAGUGAGGAAUAUUGGUCAAUGGGCGCGAGCCUGAACCAGCCAAGUAGCGUGAAGGAUGACUGCCCUACGGGUUGUAAACUUCUUUUAUAAAGGAAUAAAGUGCGGCACGUGUGCCUUUUUGUAUGUACUUUAUGAAUAAGGCUCGGCUAACUCCGUGCCAGCCGCCGCGGUAAUACGGAGGAUCCGGGAGUGCUCCGGAUUUAUUGGGUUUAAAGGGAGCGUAGAUGGGUUGUUAAGUCAGUUGUGAAAGUUUGCGGCUCAAACGUAAAAUUGCAAUUGAUACUGGCAGUCGUGAGUACAGGUGAGGUAGGCGGAAUUCGUGGUGUAGCGGGGAGAUGCUUAGAUAUCACGAAGAACGCCGAGUGCGAAGGCAGCUUACUAAACUGCCAAUGACAGUGAUGCUCGAAAGUGUGGGUAUCAAACAGGAUGAGAUACCCGGGUAGUC